CCCUUAGAUGUCCUGGGCCGCACGCGCGUUACACUGAUGCAUUCAACGAGCUUAUAACCUUGGCCGAGAGGCCCGGGCAAUCUUGUUAACGUGCAUCGUGAUAGGGAUAGAUUAUUGAAAUUAUUAAUCUUGAACGAGGAAUUCCUAGUAAACGCAGAUCAUCAAUCUGCAUUGAUUACGUCCCUGCCCUUUGUACACACCGCCCGUCGCACCUACCGAUUGGAUGGUCCGGUGAAGCCUCGGGAUUGUGGUUCUUGCCGCUUUAUUGUGGCGUGACCGCGAGAACUUGUCUAAACCUCAUCAUCUAGAGGAAGGUGAAGUCGUAACA
rnacentral:rRNA from 1 species